ensembl:lncRNA
CUAGAGAUCAGGCUCCAAAGAGCCUGGAUCCUCAAGGCCUUUGCUCCCGAGCCAAGAAAUUCCUAGCUUUGUUAGUGGUGGGAACAGAGCCAGAGGGAAAUCAGCUUUGCUUAUGAGGUGAGGGAGAGAAGGGAAACUGGGAACUUGGAGGUUAGAAUGAGGCCCAGGGAAGGGAGAGAGAGAGAGUUUGGAGAAAAUGCCCUGUGCUUCCUGUGGUGUGCCCCCCCACCCCCACCCCGCCCUUCCCUCUCCAUGCGUCUGCCUUGGGCUGGACGUGAUUCCUCAGAGGGCCUGAGACAGGCUGUGAGGCCAAACCCGCUGUGCCGAUCUCAGCUCCAGUCAAGGGGCAGAAAAGAAGACAUGCUCUUCUUGGUCAGAAAAAGGACAAAAUCAGUAGCUGAAGAAAGAGGCAAGAUUCAGAUGAUUUGUAGGGAAUUCCUCCUGUGGUGGGCACUCAGGAGCCACUUCCAGCUGAGGAGCUUGCUGCGAGCCUGGCACGGGCCUGACCUCCUUCCUUCCCAAGAGGAAAGGGAGGGCCACCACCUACCCAGGCAGGAUGUGGGGGAGAAACCUGACAUCCUUCGCAGACCUGCUCGCUCGCCCCCGAACCUGCCCUCAUCGGCUCCACCUGCUCUCCUGAAGGUAGCCUGGACUCAGCGCUCUGAGAGGCGUCCUGCAGAGCGCGCGGAAAAUGUGGCUUUUGCAGGGCUGGGUCUGUCCACCUACUGCAGUGCCCAAAGUCCGAUGCCCUCCACAGUUUGGCCAAAUCUACUUUGCCGGCCUCGUCUCCGCGAUUUCCUCCCUGGGGUAGACUAGGGUUAGAGCCGGACGGGUGGGGAGCCGAGGCAAACAAACAACUCUGGGCGUGUCAGCCCCGCCCCGACCAGGGCACUGCCGAGUCGGGAUUGGCUGAUGUCGCCUGUAUUCUGGUUGGUCGGGGGAGGGUGCUCAUUCACAGGGAGCGCUGCUCCACUCGGGCUGGAAGUUUCCUACGCUGCUUCGCUUUCUGCACUCUGCACAAAAGUUGUACCACCUUGUAUGUAAACAGAUAAAAUCAAGUUAUCUAAUGUGCCUCCGAAUAUAACGUUGGCCCCUUGAAGGAUGGCCGAAUCUGUCAGCUUGCUGUAUCCUAUUUCUAAAUCACACACGUGAGGCCGAUUAACGGGCUUUCCCGGUGGUUCAGCGGUGAAGAAACAGCCUGCAAGGCAGGAUGACCCAGGAGAUGCGGGUUGGAUCUCUGGAUUGGGAAGAUCCCUUGGAGUAGGGCAUGGCAACCCACUCCAGUAUUCUUGCCUGAAGAAUCGCAUGGUCUGAGGAGACUGGUGGACUACAGUCCUUAAGAGUUGCAGCACGACUUAAAGACGCAGUAGGGCACGACUGAAACGAUGCAGCUCGCAGGCACACAUAGCCCUGUCACAAUGUCUUGAUGGUUUCCGGUGAAAAGCAAAGGGACUCAGCUAUACAUAUUCCCCAAACAUCCUUCCCACCCAGAUGGGCACAAAACAUUGAGUAGAGUUCCAUGUGCUAUACAAUAGGUCCUUAUUGGUUAUUUAUUUUGAAUACAUAAGUGUACAUGA